rnacentral:rRNA from 1 species
UGCAGUCGAGCGGCAGCACGGNNNNGCUUGCUUNCUGGUGGNGAGCGGCGGACGGGUGAGUAAUGNNUNNNAAUCUGCCNGGNNGNGGGGGAUAACCUGGGGAAACCCNNGCUAAUACCGCAUACGUCCUACNGNANAAAGNNGGGGAUCUUCGGACCUUGCGCUAUCGGAUGAGUCUAUGUCGGAUUAGCUUGUUGGNGAGGUAAUGGCUCACCAAGGCGACGAUCCGUAGCUGGUCUGAGAGGAUGAUCAGCCACAUCGGGACUGAGGCACGGCCCGAACUCCUACGGGAGGCAGCAGUGGGGAAUAUUGGACAAUGGGCGAAAGCCUGAUCCAGCCAUGCCGCGUGUGUGAAGAAGGCCUUCGGGUUGUAAAGCACUUUCAGUGGGGAAGAANGCCUCGGGGCUAAUACCCUCGANGANNGACAUCACCCACAGAAGAAGCNCCGGCUAACUCCGUGCCAGCAGCCGCGGUAAUACGGAGGGUGCGAGCGUUAAUCGGAAUUACUGGGCGUAAAGCGCGCGUAGGCGGUCUGAUAAGCCGGUUGUGAAANCCCCGGGCUCAACCUGGGAACNGCAUCCGGAACUGUCAGGCUAGAGUGCAGGAGAGGAAGGUAGAAUUCCCGGUGUAGCGGUGAAAUGCGUAGAGAUCGGGAGGAAUACCAGUGGCGAAGGCGGCCUUCUGGACUGACACUGACGCUGAGGUGCGAAAGCGUGGGUAGCAAACAGGAUUAGAUACCCUGGUAGUCCACGCCGUAAACGAUGUCNACUAGCCGUUGGGCUCCUUGAGAGCUNUGUGGCGCANUUAACGCGAUAAGUCGACCGCCUGGGGAGUA